AUUGAACGCUGGCGGCAGGCCUAACACAUGCAAGUCGAGCGGAUGAAGGGAGCUUGCUCCUGGAUUCAGCGGCGGACGGGUGAGUAAUGCCUAGGAAUCUGCCUGGUAGUGGGGGAUAACGUCCGGAAACGGGCGCUAAUACCGCCUACGUCCUGCGGGAGCAAGUGGGGGAUCUUCGGACCUCACGCUAUCAGAUGAGCCUAGGUCGGAUUAGCUAGUUGGUGGGGUAAAGGCCUACCUAGGCGACGAUCCGUAACUGGUCUGAGAGGAUGAUCAGUCACACUGGAACUGAGACACGGUCCAGACGCCUAAGGGAGGCAGCAGUGGGGAAUAUUGGACAAUGGGCGAAAGCCUGAUCCAGCCAUGCCGCGUGUGUGAAGAAGGUCUUCGGAGUGUAAAGCACUUUAAGUUGGGAGGAAGGGCAGUAAGUUAAUACCUUGCUGUUUUGACGUUACCAACAGAAUAAGCACCGGCUAACUUCGUG
rnacentral:rRNA from 1 species